rnacentral:rRNA from 1 species
CACGUAGGGGGCGAGCGUUGUCCGGAUUUAUUGGGCGUAAAGAGCUCGUAGGUGGUUCAGUAAGUCGAGUGUGAAACCUCCAGGCUCAACCUGGAGACGCCACCCGAUACUGCUGUGACUAGAGUCCAGUAGGGGAGCACGGAAUUCCUGGUGUAGCGGUGAAAUGCGCAGAUAUCAGGAGGAACACCAGUGGCGAAGGCGGUGCUCUGGGCUGGAACUGACACUGAGGAGCAAAAGCGUGGGUAGCAAACAGG